rnacentral:rRNA from 1 species
GGGGGUGCAAGCGUUGUCCGGAAUCAUUGGGCGUAAAGCGUUCGUAGGCGGUAAAGUAAGUCAGAUGUUAAAGCCCGGGGCUCAACUCCGGUUCGGCAUUUGAUACUACUUAACUAGAAUGCGGUAGAGGUAAAGGGAAUUCCUGGUGUAGCGGUGAAAUGCGUAGAUAUCAGGAGGAACAUCGGUGGCGAAAGCGCUUUACUGGACCGUUAUUGACGCUGAGGAACGAAAGCCAGGGGAGCAAA